CUUGAAAAUAUGGUAAUACAUUUUGCUAUCGUUAUUCGCAAUGACCUCAACCAAACACAUUCACAGGGAAAAGAACACAAUGAGCAAAACAAAUGAAAGCCUUAAACAAGUAAUUGGCGAAAUCGCACUAAUAGCAUAAGACAAUUGUUGUAGUUAAGGUGAGCGAGAAUAUCUACCGCGGCGGUCCAUUUCAACAGCAAAGACAAACGGAUACUAAAGGUGUGGUUGUGAAAUAGUCUUCCAACGUGUUUGACUCAUUCAAUAUGUUUUCGAAAAUCAUAUGGCCUUAUAUUGAUCUCCACGAACACCACUGCGUAUGAGUGUGGUAUUGUAAAAAAAAAAAAAAUAAACCAAGUAUAAGCUCAUCCCGGCAACUGAGUUGGUGGCGUGCUCGGAUAACCCGUGCGGAUAGCCGUGGGCUCGUUAUCGACCAGAGGCCAUGUCUUUCGCUACUGUGGUAUCACCAUGGACCAAAAUCGGAUUGAGACUUUUGUUAUGCUCUAACCCAAUGGCAAAUCGAAAAUAGAGAACAAAAUAAAAACAUAUGAACGGGGGGCAAAUAUGAAUCAAUACCACAGAAAUAUGUGUAUGUCACUCCAGUGGGGAAUACAAUAGAACAAUAGUCGUCAACUCAAACAACACCAAAUGAAAAGAACAGAUACUUAACUUGGAAGACCAACAAAAAGAACAAAUAACGACAAUAAAAAUUUAAAAAAAAAAACGAAAUUAUUAAAACAUGAAUUAUACUUUCCAACACAAAUAAAACUUGUUAAAGUAGCACAACCUAAAAAAAAAAUGAAAUAAAAACAUUACAUUUUCCA